rnacentral:snRNA from 1 species
GUGCUCGCUUCGGCAGCACAUAUCCUAAAAAUUGGAACAAUACAGAGAUUAGCAUGGCCCCUGUGCAAGGAUGACAUGCAAAUUCAUGAAGCGUUCCAUAUUUAA